rnacentral:rRNA from 1 species
UACAGAGGGUGCGAGCGUUGUCCGGAAUCACUGGGCGUAAAGGGCGCGUAGGCGGCUUGAUAAGGUUGCGGUGAAAGCCCGGGGCUCAACCCCGGGUCGGCCGUGGCAACUGUCGAGCUGGAGCACUGUAGAGGCAGGUGGAAUUCCGGGUGUAGCGGUGGAAUGCGUAGAGAUGUGGAGGAACACCAGUGGCGAAGGCGACUCUUUGGCCUGUAACUGACGCUGAGGCGCGAAAGCGUGGGGAGCAAACAGG